AGAGUUUGAUCCUGGCUCAGAACGAACGCUGGCGGCAUGCCUAACACAUGCAAGUCGAACGGGAUCCAGGCUUCGGCCUGGUGAGAGUGGCGGACGGGUGAGUAACGCGUGGGAACCUGCCCAAUGGUCUGGGAUAACCGCGGGAAACUGCGGCUAAUACCGGAUAAGCCCGAGAGGGGAAAGAUUUAUCGCCGAUGGAGGGGCCCGCGUCCGAUUAGGUAGUUGGUGAGGUAACGGCUCACCAAGCCGACGAUCGGUAGCUGGUCUGAGAGGAUGAUCAGCCACACUGGGACUGAGAUACGGCCCAGACUCCUACGGGAGGCAGCAGUGGGGAAUAUUGGACAAUGGGGGCAACCCUGAUCCAGCAAUGCCGCGUGAGUGAUGAAGGCCUUAGGGUUGUAAAGCUCUUUUGGCGGGGACGAUGAUGACGGUACCCGCAGAAUAAGCCCCGGCUAACUUCGUGCCAGCCGCCGCGGUAAUUC
rnacentral:rRNA from 1 species